UACGUAGGGUGCAAGCGUUACUCGGAAUUACUGGGCGUAAAGCGUGCGCAGGCGGUUGUGCAAGACAGAUGUGAAAUCCCCGGGCUUAACCUGGGAACUGCAUUUGUGACUGCACGGCUGGAGUGCGGCAGAGGGGGAUGGAAUUCCGCGUGUAGCAGUGAAAUGCGUAGAUAUGCGGAGGAACACCGAUGGCGAAGGCAAUCCCCUGGGCCUGCACUGACGCUCAUGCACGAAAGCGUGGGGAGCAAACAGG
rnacentral:rRNA from 1 species